rnacentral:rRNA from 1 species
AUCUUAAAGAAAAUUAAUUUUAAGUAAAAUCUGCCCAAUGAAAUUUUAAAUGGCUGCAAAAUAAAUAAUUGUACAAAGGUAGCAUAAUAAUUUGUUUUUUAAUUAAAAACUAGAAUAAAUGAUUAAAUGAAAUAUAAACUUUUUCAAUAAUAAAAUAAUUUAAAUUAUUAUUUAAGUAAAAAAACUUAAAUACUUUAAAAAGACGACAAGACCCUAUAGAAUUUCAUUUAAUUAAUCUUAUUCUAUAAAAAAUUAUAAUAUUUAAUAAAAUAAAUUAAAUUUAAUUGGGGUAAUUUAAAAAUUUUAUAAAUUUUUUAAAAAAUUUACAUUAAUUAAUGAAUAAAAAUUCUUAAAAUUUAAAUUAUUAAAAUUAAUUACCUUAGGGAUAACAGCAUAAUUUUUUUUAAAAGAUCUUAUUAAUAAAAARGAUUAU